GGUGGUAGUAGCUCAGUGGUUAAGACAUUGUACUUCUGAUCAGAAGGUUGUGAGCUCAAAUCCCAGUAUCACCA